rnacentral:misc_RNA from 1 species
UGUAUGUCGGGCUCGUUCGCCCUGCGAAAUUCAAGAUGCUUGCCAAGCGCGGCUUGAAGGGUCAGAAAAUCCGCUGAGAUAAUGCAGCGGAGAUGACUUUGAGCAUCAAGGGAAAAGCCUAUAUCGCCGGGAUUUACGAGCAUCCCACCCGGCAUGCGCCGGACAAAUCGACGGCCCAACUUCACGCCGAAUGCGCCAAGGGCGCGCUGGAGGAUGCCGGC